rnacentral:lncRNA from 1 species
UGGUGGAGGAGGUGGUGGUGGUGGCAGCACAGGAAAUGGCUCAGGGUCUGGCUAUGGAAGUGGAAGUGGUUCUGGAUAUGGAAGUGGUGGGGGUAGAGGAGGAGGAGGCGGUGGCGGUGGAGGAGGAGGUGGCGGCGGCGGUGGUGGCGGUGGCAGUGGCAACGGUUCAGGGUAUGGUAGUGGCUCAGGGUAUGGAUCAGGCUAUGGUUCAGGAUAUGGUGGAGGGGAUGGAGGUGAUGAACGACCUUGAACUGCUGGAAUAUUGAAGUUCAUUUUACGUAUAUUUGAUAGUACUAUUUGGUAUAUGCAUUUUAAAUUUAUGAGAUAUAAUAAGUUGCAUGGUUUCACCACCUUUAUUUAUGUGGUAUAUGUAUAUUAAACUUUGCUUGGUUGUGCAUGUAAUCAAAAUUUCACUAUAUUCUGUAUUAGUAUGUUACUCCAAUUUAAUGCAAUAACUUUCCAGGUUUUCCUCAAAA